GGAUCAGGUAGGACUACCCGCUGAACUUAAGCAUAUCAAUAAGCGGAGGAAAAGAAACCAACAGGGAUUGCCCCAGUAACGGCGAGUGAAGCGGCAACAGCUCAGAUUUGGAAUCUGGCCCCCAGGGCCCGAGUUGUAAUCUGGAGAGGAUGCUUCUGGCGCGGCGCCUUCCGAGUUCCCUGGAACGGGACGCCGGAGAGGGUGAGAGCCCCGUACGGUUGGACGCCUAGCCUUUGUGAAGCUCCUUCGACGAGUCGAGUAGUUUGGGAAUGCUGCUCAAAAUGGGAGGUAAAUUUCUUCUAAAGCUAAAUACCGGCCAGAGACCGAUAGCGCACAAGUAGAGUGAUCGAAAGAUGAAAAGCACUUUGAAAAGAGGGUCAAACAGUACGUGAAAUUGUUGAAAGGGAAGCGCCCGUGGCCAGACUUGUGCCCCGCGGACCACCCGGCGCCCUCAGCGCCGGUGCACUCCGCGGGGCGCAGGCCAGCAUCGGUUUUCCUAGGGGGAUAAAGGCGGCGGGAACGUGGCUCCCUCGGGAGUGUUAUAGCCCGCCGCGCCAUGCCCCUGGGGGGACCGAGGACCGCGCUUCGGCAAGGAUGCUGGCGUAAUGGCCACCGGCGACCCGUCUUGAAACACGGACCAAGGAGUCAAGCAUUGGGGCGAGUGUCUGGGUGUUAAACCCGCACGCGAAAUGAAAGUAAACGCAGGUGAGAGCUUCGGCGCAUCAUCGACCGAUCCUGAUGUUCUCGGAUGGAUUUGAGUAAGAGCCUUACCGCUUGGACCCGAAAGAUGGUGAACUAUGCCUGUAUAGGGUGAAGCCAGAGGAAACUCUGGUGGAGGCUCGCAGCGGUUCUGACGUGCAAAUCGAUCGUCAAAUAUGGGCAUGGGGGCGAAAGACUAAUCGAACCAUCUAGUAGCUGGGUUACCGCCGAA
rnacentral:rRNA from 1 species